GGCAGCUGCACUCUGGCUCACAAGGACACCCCCUUCUCUAGGAAGGAUCUCAGAGGAGCUGAGGAGACAGACUAUUCACAGUGCCAUGGUAGACUGUACCAACUGAGGUGCCCUCUCAAGCAGAGCAAAUGUUGACUGGCUCACUUGUGACUUGAGGUGGUGGUUAAAGCCUGGGGUUUCAACUGUGCACUUCAGCCUUUGGACAUAUCCAAGAAGCUAUUUUCUGAGACAAGUCUGGGGCCUGCUUUCCAGUUCUCUUCUAAUCUGUUCUCGGUGGAGAUGAGAUGACCUUCCAUCCAGGCAAGUGCUGAGCCCAAGCAACAGGUGGAUAAUGUUGGAAACUUCUUUCCACUUUGGACCACAUUAGUACCAAGUAAUACAGGAAUAGAAGGCCAGUGUGACUCGCCAUCCAAGAAGCUGUAUUAGAAAGUGUCAAGAAAGAUGGUAACAGAAGUUCACAGGAAGGGGCAUCAAGGAAGUUGCCAAAGCCAGACACCAAGGAGGGAGCUGUGACUGGAGCCAGUGAGCACAUGCAGUGGGUGAUCGUUGGCACUCAAUAGACACUACUAAGGCAUCUGUACUCACUUUACAUUCUUCUGAUUUGGUCAUCCUUAUUUAUAGAUGUCUAACAUGGCAUGUCAACUUGAUCACCAGAAAGUUGAUAUAUCCAGGCUACAUUGUAAUAGCGCCACACAGAAAUCCCAUCAAAGAACUACAAAUCCAUUGUGCCCUUGACUUUUAAAGACG
rnacentral:lncRNA from 1 species